GUAGGGAAUAUUGCGCAAUGGACGAAAGUCUGACGCAGCGACGCCGGGUGAGUGAUGAAGGCCUUAGGGUCGUAAAGCCCUGUUGAAGGGGAAGAAAAAAAUGACGGUACCAUUCGAGGAAGGACCGGCUAACUUCGUGCCAGCAGCCGCGGUAAUAGGAGGGGCCCUAGCGUUGUUCGGAAUCAUUGGGCGUAAAGGGUGUGUAGGUGGCCAUGUAAGUCAGGUGUGAAAGCCCCGGGCUCAACCCGGGAAGUGCACUUGAUACUGCGUGGCUUGAGUACCGAAGAGGGUAGUGGAAUUCCAGGUGUAGUGGUGAAAUACGUAGAUAUCUGGAGGAACACCGGUGGCGAAGGCGGCUACCUGGUCGAGUACUGACACUGAGACACGAAAGCAUGGGGAUCAAACAGGAUUAGAAACCCCUGUAGUCC
rnacentral:rRNA from 1 species